rnacentral:rRNA from 1 species
UACGAAGGGGGCUAGCGUUGCUCGGAAUGACUGGGCGUAAAGGGCGCGUAGGCGGCUUUAUAAGUCGGGGGUGAAAGCCUGUGGCUCAACCACAGAAUUGCCUUCGAUACUGUAGAGCUUGAGACCGGAAGAGGUAAGUGGAACUGCGAGUGUAGAGGUGAAAUUCGUAGAUAUUCGCAAGAACACCAGUGGCGAAGGCGGCUCACUGGCCCGAAACUGACGCUGAGGCACGAAAGCGUGGGGAGCAAACAGG